rnacentral:rRNA from 1 species
GACGAACGCUGGCGGCGUGCCUAACACAUGCAAGUCGAACGGAGUCCGGCCCCCGCAAGGGACUGACUUAGUGGCGAACGGGUGAGUAACGCGUGAGCAACCUGCCUUUCAGUGGGGGACAACAGUUGGAAACGACUGCUAAUACCGCAUAAUGCAUUUUGACCGCAUGAUCGAGAUGCCAAAGAUUUAUUGCUGAAAGAUGGGCUCGCGUCUGAUUAGAUAGUUGGUGGGGUAACGGCCCACCAAGUCGACGAUCAGUAGCCGGACUGAGAGGUUGAACGGCCACAUUGGGACUGAGAUACGGCCCAGACUCCUACGGGAGGCAGCAGUGGGGAAUAUUGGGCAAUGGGGGAAACCCUGACCCAGCAACGCCGCGUGAAGGAGAAGGCUUUCGGGUGUAAACUUCUUUUACCAGGGACG